rnacentral:misc_RNA from 1 species
UGAAGCUGCAACGCGCUGGCGGCACUGGCGGUGGUGAGUCUCAUGUUCGAACCCGCCGCAGUCCCGCGUUAAACUUUGUUUGAUUGGUAACAACAUAGUGCGCCGUGCCCCCGAGAUACUCCGUCGGUUGAUCAGAUAUCGGGGUAUCAGUAGGAUUUGCGCACGCGCACCUAUAACGUCGAAAAUGCGUGCGCGAUGCUAGACAGUUAUGCUGGGUAACGCCAUGCUGUUUGACUGGCUGCUUUCCUUGGGUGCCUGGCAGCUUCAGCAGCUUCAGUGCUACUCGGGAGAUUGAACGAAGCCUGUCAUUUACCUGCAUCCCAUUGAGACUGUGGCACUGACGGACUUCAUAGGCUACAAACUGCGCUUUAGGUACCGGCAUGGACGGCGCGUUACGGUCUCUACAGCAAAGAAUGGGAUCGGGUGACCAGGGCCGUUACCCUUGGCGCUGGAGUCUUGAACGUUUGCUACGUGGCCUCAGCACAGAGCGCGCCUGCUCAGCAGACGCGUUCGCGGAAUGCUGGCUCAUCGAACACAUAGCCUCAUGGAACCAGGCUCUGCGGCCGGCGAGGCUUGUAUUGACAGAGUUCGAGCCGGGCAAGCUAUGCCUGCGUUCCUACGACGACCGAGACGGUUUCGGCGCAAGGUACCGUGGCGGCAGCGGUAACGAAAAUGACGGUGCUUUCCUCAUGGCAUGGCUGCCCAGACAACACUUCUGCAUCCACGAGGUCCGCGUGCAUGACCGUAUGCAUGUGGAACGGCUCUCCUUCGUGGCUUCUUUCAUCGUUGGGCCAGCCCCCAACCUGCACCGUGUGGUGUUGCGACCGCGCUACAGACUCGAGCCCGAGAGCGGGUUCCUCGAAGCGUUUGGCCCGCCCCAAUGUCUCAGAGACUUGGACCUCUCGAACGUUCACAUCAGUGACUCCAUCGCUCCCAAAGUGGCCGAAGUUUUGCGCGGAAAUUCGUCAACCCUGAACAGUGUCACCCUCGUGGGAAACCAGCUGUCCCCAGAAGCCGCCGGCACCCUGCUUCUUGCACUUGUCGCGUGCGCGCGGCUCAGAGACUUGAGCCUUCAAGAUAGCAUGGACUCCUCAGCCUGUGACGCUUUGGCAGAGCUGUUCAGGAGCAACAGGGCUAUUCAGAAACUUACGCUGGUGGGACUCGGCAAAGCUGGCAUGACCUGCAAGCACCUCGGAUCCCUGGACAGACGCAGGGCUUGUGUGAACUGUCUAAAAGACCUGUUUGCUGCGCUGGAGGGCAUUCUGUGCUUUAAGGACCUGACAUUGGUAUCGACCUCGAUCAAAGCCUUAAUGGGAAGGGCACUAGCACACUUUUUAAAGAGGCAUCACUCACUCGUCACGUUGUCACUAGAAAGCUGUACUGUUGAUUCUGAAGGGGCAGCGCAAAUUGCCAAAGCACUGUCUGCCAACUGCACACUGGAGCAACUCAGCUUGCCAGACUGUACUCUUGAAGGUGACGUGGUCACCAAGUUGUGCUCGACUGUGGCCGCCAACACAACCCUGAGGAGUCUCGUGCUGCCCGAGGUCUUCACUUCCACCCGUACCAUAGAAGAAGGGGGCCCUACAUUCGAGAUGCUGAAGCAACGGUGCCCCGGUCGCGUCUACUUUCCUCUAUCUGUGCCUCUUCCAUCGUUCGUGUCUCCGGCCCUGGCUGAGGGCCUUUCGUGUGCUUCCAAGCUGAAGAUAUGCCACUGGGGUAUCGUAGGUGAUGUGCUGUGCUCCAUGUAUGCCUCGCUGUCCCUGAACAAUUCACUGCGCUGCCUCCACAUCGACUAUAUGGGCGGCGGCAGCGCAGACAGCGGUGUUGCAUCGGAAUCUCUCCUCAGCUCCUUGUGCACUGCUCUCACAACUUGUGCACAUUUCCACACUUUCCACCUGGACCUGCACAGGUCCUUCAACGACUUUGAGGAGGCGAUUCCACUGGCUGAAAUCUUCACUGCUCUAGAAAACAAUCCACGCCUAAGGAAGUUAUCGCUGACUGUUCCUCGGCUGGACUACAAAGCUGCGCAGUUGCUAUCCCUCUUCGUAUCCCAGUGCAAAAGGAGUUUGGUCGAGCUUCGUAUCAAGAGCUGUGAUGCCAUUCCAGAAGCUGCCUUUGGUGCACUUUAUGCUAUGGUUACAAAGAACACGUUCCUGUCAAAGCUGACCCUCAGAUGCACUGCGUGGGAUGAUGUGGUGCGGGCGAAUGCAGCCUUGGACGACGCCUUGGAACGCAACCUGGGCCUGCUCAACAAGGCGGCACGCCUUGAACCGCUGGCUUCUUGGCCAAUCCCCCGUAGUGGGUAAGCGCCACAAGUGAGGAACAAGCAAGAAAGCCUGCGCAGAGCGUCGCAAGGGAAGGAAUAAGAAAGCAGGCAAGAAGCGCCGAUAUGCAGGAAACGAUAGGUCACUACCAACUGCCCUCGACGGGGCAGGCGGUCUCGUCAUCUUCGGCUCAGCGUGGUAACCUCGUACCGCUUCUACGGCGUCCGCCUCCUCCGACCAGCGACAGUGGCAGGCUGCGAAGCGGUUCUUCGCAGCCUUCGGCUGCACCAGCCAUACUCCUUAUACGGCCCGUUCAGUUAUCGCGCUCCUCCGCGAUGAUGGCCGUGAAGGAACUGCCGCCGGACAGAGUGGUCCGGACGGCUGUCCUCCAGCUGGCCCACCCAACGCGCGAGCCUUUCUUCCGAGCAGAAGGGAACCAGCCCCCGCCUUUGGCCGACGCCUUCUUCCCGUCGGACGAAGAAGGGUCGCAGAUGUCAUUCGUCGUGUCCCCGUCACCUCGCAUCACAUGAAAGCCUCA